rnacentral:rRNA from 1 species
AACGAACGCUGGCGGCAUGCCUAACACAUGCAAGUCGAACGAGACCUUCGGGUCUAGUGGCGCACGGGUGCGUAACGCGUGGGAACCUGCCUUUAGGUUCGGAAUAACUCAGAGAAAUUUGAGCUAAUACCGGAUAAAUGUCUUCGGACCAAAGAUUUAUCGCCUUUAGAUGGGCCCGCGUUGGAUUAGCUAGUUGGUGGGGUAAAGCCUACCAAGGCGACGAUCCAUAGCUGGUCUGAGAGGAUGAUCAGCCACACUGGGACUGAGACACGGCCCAGACUCCUACGGAGGCAGCAGUGGGAAUAUGGACAAUGGGCGAAAGCCUGAUCCAGCAAUGCCGCGUGAGUGAUGAAGG